rnacentral:rRNA from 1 species
UACGUAGGGUCCGAGCGUUGUCCGGAUUUAUUGGGCGUAAAGAGCUCGUAGGCGGUUCCGUAAGUCAGAUGUGAAAACUCAGGGCUCAACCCGGAGACGCCAUCUGAUACUGCGGUGACUGGAGUCUGGUAGGGGAACACGGAAUUCCUGGUGUAGCGGUGAAAUGCGUAGAUAUCGAGAGGAACACCUGCGGCGAAGGCGGGUUGCUGGGCCGACACUGACGCUGAUGCGCGAAAGCGUGGGGAGCAAACAGG